rnacentral:lncRNA from 1 species
CAUGUUAUGUUCUGAAUAUAGUAAAAAAUAAAAGAACUUUGGGGGAAACAUUUAAUUUUUUCCAUAAGUGGAGAUCGUUACUAAUGUCCUAAAGAUCAAAGAUCAAGGGCUGGAAGUAGUAUUUUUCUUGAUAACAUACUAAGGUUUAGGUGUGCUGUGAAUUCCAGCAGGAUCAUAUUGUCGUCAAAUGAAGAUGCUGAAGUUGGUUUGAAAUUAGCAACUCCUUGAGUAGAGAGAGGCAUAUGAGUCCUCUUAGGAGGAUAGAACCAGUAGGAGAGGAAGUCUUAGGUGUGUGUCAGUUACAUAAAGGAAGGAACGAUGCCAAAUUAGAAGCAACGUGUGUUAUGUUAGUAAAUUUAGAAAGAGCUCCCUGCCCCUAAUUCCUGUGCAGUUAGGCAAAUAGGGAAGGAGCCCCAAACAGUCAUGUGAAAUGCUUUCUUCCUCUCCUGUUAACCUGAGAAAACACAAUGAGAGUUUAAGUUCAUCUAAACUGGGCAGAGUCUAUGUGAGACUCCAGUGGCUGGUGCACUUCUCAGUCCAAGGGACCCCACCUUAUGACAAUGGCAUCAUCAUGAGGACACAGUAGUGUAUGUGGAAUGGGCAGCAAACCCAUCAGACAGCACCUGCCUGGCCGGCUCCACCUGGGGAAGGUCCUGGGGAAUGACUGGAGGAUGUGAGCCUCACACCAAGAUGAGGACGGAAGUCAAUGGAUGAAAUUAGCCUCUGGGCCUUGGGGAAAGCAGACCUGUCAUCCUGCCUCUGACUGCCUGACCAGAAUCUCCACUUCUGAGCUGCGGAUGCACAAGACAAAAGGAAGUGAACCCAUGACUGGCCUCAGAUGCAGAUGCCUAACAACAAACAGCCCCAUCACCCCCGGUUGAGGAGAGGAGGGGGCUGUGGCUGCAGACAGACCUCAUAUGUCUCUAAUCUGCCACCUAUGGCCUGUGUGACCCUUGUUAGUGACUGUCUCCCUGUCCCUCAAUUUCCUUUCUAUAAGUAGGAUAAGUGCUAUUUGGCUGUGAGGUUGUUUGUGAGUUAACCUCAAAAUAUUUACAAUUACUUGAUCUCAGCUCUGCACAGAGGAGCUGCCCAAGUGAACAGUUAUCUAUGAUUAUUUGCUUCCAAGACAGAGGGCCCUGGGCCUGAUCCCUGGUGGACAUGGAGCUGCCAGGAGCAUCCUCUCUUCUCUGUUCCUCCCCUUGGGGACUCUGAACUUCCCAGGGAGUAACCUGUGUCCCCCAGGGCAGUGGGCUCAUGCACUAGUAAUUUUUUCCAUCUGUCCUUUCCAUGCUGAGCCUCAAGUGAAGGAGGAGGCCCUAUCCUCAGCUAGAUGAGGCUCUGGGUGCUCGGACCUGGCUGGUGACCAACUCCAGGAGUCAUGGCCCUUGGAUAGCUCACAUCCUUGCUCCCAGCCAGCCCUGCCCAAGAGGCCACCACACAGCCCUGGCACAGACUCCCCAGGAUCACCUGGAAUCAGGAACCAGGGACAGGGCUUUGUACAGGGGCUCAGUUCAGGGAAGAGUUGAGCUUCUCUCUGAGGGGUCCCUAGGGGGACCCCUCAGGCCAGGCCCUGAUCCAGUUCUCCAGGGUCUUUCUCAGGGUCAGGUCCAUGGGGAGACCAUGGGGUGCUUGUCUGACACUGACCUCGCCCUGCUGAGUCCCCCCAUCAGACUGUCCUUCCUCUGCAGCGAGUGUCUGCAGGGUCUGGAUCCAGGAAAGGAAUUCUGAUCUGUGGAAGUUUGUCUCCCCCGUGUGUGUCCUGCACUAAAUGUCCAAACCCUGAUACAGGAUGUAAUGCAGAGAGGGCCACAGGCACAACCCAGGCCUGACAAUCCCGUAUGUGGGAAGUAGAACUGACCCCCAACACCCAGAGGUCAUGUGGAAAUACUCACGGUAUACAUGGAACUGUCCGGUUGCUUCUUCAUUCACAAGAUCUGACUUUAUGACUUGUAGGGUAUAGAAUCCUGUGUCAUUCUGGGUGAC